rnacentral:tRNA from 1 species
CUCCGAUUGUACCGGUGUUAGCAUGCACAGGACUUAAAAUCCUGUGGGAGGCAACUCCCGUGCGGGUUCGAUCCCCGCCUCGGCUA